rnacentral:rRNA from 1 species
UCCAGCCAUGCCGCGUGAGUGAUGAAGGCCUUAGGGUCGUAAAGCUCUUUCGCCUGUGAAGAUAAUGACGGUAGCAGGUAAAGAAACCCCGGCUAACUCCGUGCCAGCAGCCGCGGUAAUACGGAGGGGGUUAGCGUUGUUCGGAAUUACUGGGCGUAAAGCGCACGUAGGCGGAUCGGAAAGUUGGGGGUGAAAUCCCGGGGCUCAACCCCGGAACUGCCUCCAAAACUAUCGGUCUAGAGUUCGAGAGAGGUGAGUGGAAUUCCGAGUGUAGAGGUGAAAUUCGUAGAUAU